rnacentral:rRNA from 1 species
UACGGAGGGGGCAAGCGUUGUCCGGAAUUAUUGGGCGUAAAGGGCUCGUAGGCGGCUUACUAAGUCAGACGUGAAAUCCCUCGGCUUAACCGGGGAACUGCGUCUGAUACUGGAUGGCUUGAGUUCGGGAGAGGGAUGCGGAAUUCCAGGUGUAGCGGUGAAAUGCGUAGAUAUCUGGAGGAACACCGGUGGCGAAGGCGGCAUCCUGGACCGACACUGACACUGAGGAGCGAAAGCCAGGGGAGCAAACAGG